GCUUCAGUCUUAGAGCUAGCUAUUUCUCCAAGGAGUCCUGGUUCCCUUGACUGAAGGUUAAGAAGCAAAUCUGUUCUGAUGCGAUGCCAACUAAGUACAUGAUCUGAUUGUUCCGGUUAUCCUGUGCCAAAAAGGAGCAAAAAAUGGGCUUUCCACGGAUUAUUGAACACAGUGGGUGUCAGUGUGCCUGAGAAACAAGCCACUAUUAAAAGCUUUCUAGGCAAUUUCAAUCAGGUUGCUGAGCUUUGAAAAAUAUUCUACAGCCAAGUGUAGGAGACCAAAGAACUUGGAGAACAUACGUGCUCUGAGCUAUUUCAAAAAAUGCUGCACUUAAGCUAAUUGAGCUGUCGUCAGGGCAACACAGACGUGAAUAACAGGAAGGUAGAUUUUAGUAGAAGAGAAGAACAGGCAAGGGAUGGAGUCACGUGCAUUUGGAAGACAAGACAAACAUAAGCCCUGUUUAUCUCAAUAAAGUAAGCACGGUUGGGCAUUCUGUGGGGCAAGAUCAUUUGUUGGAAUUGAGAUGAGGCCCAGAACAAUCCAUGGAUAUCAAAUCCACACAUAAGCCUCUGCUAGAAUUGUGCCAGAGUAAGAGAAGUCCUGGAAUUUCUCCAGGCAGUCCUACCACACCACCCAGAUAUCUGGUUUCCAGGUGAAUGAACUGAAGAAAGAUCAAGAAACACAUGGUGGGCAAGAGGUGCUGAAUUGUUGGCUCUCCAGGGGAAAGCUCUAGGGGUAGAGCUAGCAAAAUAUCAAGAGAGCAGGUAUACACGUGGCAGCCAAGAGGCGCCUUGCUCAGCUCUCCCUUCGAGAAAACCUGCUUCAAGGUGGGAGGUCGGGGAACACUCUCCAGCUGCUCUGUCUUCGGAUGCCCUGGGGCAUUCAUGCAGAAGCUUCCUCUUCCCUGGACUGCUCCCAGCCUGUGACUGAGCAAGGCAGAAGUGGUAGCACCAUGUGAUUCCUGCAGAAUGUGGGUUUCCUCUGGUGGGUCACCUUUGCUCCAGGGUUUGCCAUCUGCAUGGACAUGACGCUGUCAGAGGUUGCCGGACGCUGAGGCCCCUCCUACCAAAUCCUGCGACUUUGUCUCACCUGUCUGUCACAGUGUCACAAUUGCCUCUCAGUCCGAGGAUCGUCCGCUACACGUUCCUGCUCCCUCUCCCCUCCUUUCCCUUAUUCCUUCCCAUGGUCCCCACCCCAAUGUCUCAAAUAUUUACUUUCGUCUUCAAAUCUGCUUCUUGGAAAUCAUGAACGAAAGAGGAUUCACAUUUGAUAAGAUCCAAAGAGAGAAGAAGGGGAUAAUUCAUAUAUGUCUGACACUGGU